CAAAAAAAAAACAGAAGAAAAUAAGCUGUAAAUGUAUCUAUUUUACAAUUUAUGAACCAAGCAAAUACGAAACUAUGGCGGCUGAAAAUUGGUGUCUGACUUUUCGCAAAGCAUUGUGGGAUUGUUGUCGUAUGCUUUUCAAUGGCGACGGUCUCUGUUUUUUUAUUGAAUUUUCGUCUUUGAAUGUUUUUCCUGCAGCUAACAAUUAUGAAAGAAAUUUUACCAAGCAAGUAGCCCAUGCGAAGCUUCACCUAUAUAUCCCAAAUGGCCAAAGG